CCUACGGGGGGCUGCAGUGAGGAAUAUUGGUCAAUGGCCGGAAGGCUGAACCAGCCAAGUCGCGUGAGGGAAUAAGGCCCUAUGGGUCGUAAACCUCUUUUGUCAGGGAGCAAAGGCGUCCACGUGUGGACGAGAGGAGAGUACCUGAAGAAAAAGCAUCGGCUAACUCCGUGCCAGCAGCCGCGGUAAUACGGAGGAUGCGAGCGUUAUCCGGAUUUAUUGGGUUUAAAGGGUGCGUAGGCGGAGUGUCAAGUCAGCGGUAAAAUUUCGGGGCUCAACCCCGUCGUGCCGUUGAAACUGACGCCCUUGAGUGAGUGAGAAGUAAGCGGAAUGUGGGGUGUAGCGGUGAAAUGCGUAGAUAUUGGGAGGAACACCAGUGGCGAAGGCGGCCUGCUGGACAUUAACUGACGCUGAGGCGCGAAAGCGUGGGGAGCAAACAGGAUUAGAUACCCCAGUAGUC
rnacentral:rRNA from 1 species